GGGAGUCGAGAUGUAACGCCAUGGAGUAGGAAGCCCGGAAACUUCUCCGAGUGAUGCUGGCUUUGUAGAAAGAGUUUGGAGCAUUCUUUGGAACUCUGAUUUAAAGGUCUAUGGCAUCUACAUUCAUCCAACUAAGAAAAAUCAUUUUCGUUGGGUGUUGGUGGCACACACCUUUAAUCCCAGCACUCAGGAGGCAGAAGCAGGCGGAUCUCUGUGAGUUCAAGGCCAGCCUGGUCUACAGAGCGAGUUCCUGACAGUCUCCAAAACAAUACAGAGAAAUUCUGUCUUGGAAAAAAAAGAAAAGAUCAUUUCCUAUUAUUAUUAGCUCUUUGGGAGUUUCAAGUUUCAUACCAUGUGCUUUGAUUAUAUUCACUCUUUCCAGAGUCACUCAAUCCCCCCCCCCAUCUAUCUUUGUAUCCUUAAUAAAAUCAUUCAGAACUGA